rnacentral:rRNA from 1 species
UACGGGAGGCAGCAGUGAGGAAUCUUGCCCAAUGGACGAAAGUCUGAGGCAGCAACGCCGCGUGGGCGAUGAAGGCCUUCGGGUUGUAAAGCCCUUUUCUGGGGGACGAGGAAGGACGGUACCUCAGGAAUAAGUCACGGCUAACUACGUGCCAGCAGCCGCGGUAAUACGUAGGUGGCAAGCGUUAUCCGGAUUUACUGGGCGUAAAGCGCGUGCAGGCGGUUUCGUAAGUCGGACGUGAAAGCUCCUGGCUUAACUGGGAGACGCCGUUCGAUACUGCGGGACUUGAGGUCGGGAGAGGGACGUGGAAUUCCCGGUGUAGUGGUGGAAUGCGUAGAUAUCGGGAGGAACACCAGUGGCGAAGGCGGCGUCCUGGCCCGCACCUGACGCUAAGACGCGAAAGCGUGGGUAGCGAACGGGAUUAGAUACCCCGGUAGUCCACGCCGUAAACGGUGGAUACUAGGUGUUGGUGGCUAUCGUCAUCAGUGCCGUAGCUAACGCGUUAAGUAUCCCGCCUGGGGACUACGGCCGCAAGGCUAAAACUCAAAUGAAUUGACGGA